rnacentral:rRNA from 1 species
GAUGAACGCUGGCGGCGUGCCUAAUACAUGCAAGUCGAGCGAACAGACGAGGAGCUUGCUCCUCUGACGUUAGCGGCGGACGGGUGAGUAACACGUGGAUAACCUACCUAUAAGACUGGGAUAACUUCGGGAAACCGGAGCUAAUACCGGAUAAUAUAUUGAACCGCAUGGUUCAAUAGUGAAAGACGGUUUUGCUGUCACUUAUAGAUGGAUCCGCGCCGCAUUAGCUAGUUGGUAAGGUAACGGCUUACCAAGGCAACGAUGCGUAGCCGACCUGAGAGAGUGAUCGGCCACACUGGAACUGAGACACGGUCCAGACUCCUACGAGAGGCAGCAGUAGGGAAUCUUCCGCAAUGGGCGAAAGCCUGACGGAGCAACGCCGCGUGAGUGAUGAAGGUCUUCGGAUCGUAAAACUCUGUUAUUAGGGAAGAACAAAUGUGUAAGUAACUAUGCACGUCUUGACGGUACCUAAUCAGAAAGCCACGGCUAACUACGUG